rnacentral:rRNA from 1 species
GAGUAAUACAUCGAGACGUACCUAAUAGUGGGGGAUAACCCAUCGAAAGAUGGACUAAUACCGCAUAAUCUCUGAGGAGGAAAGGUGGGGACCCUUCGGGGCCUGUCGCUAGAUGAGCGAUCGAUGCCCGAUUAGCUAGUUGGUGAGGUAAAGGCUUACCAAGGCGAUGAUCGGUAGCUGUUCUGAGAGGAAGACCAGCCACACUGGGACUGAGACACGGCCCAGACUCC